rnacentral:rRNA from 1 species
UCCGUAGGUGAACCUGCGGAAGGAUCAUUAGUGAAUUUAAGGACGUUCAAUUUAACUUGAAGUCCGAACUCUCACUUUCUAACCCUGUGCAUUUGUUUUGGCUAGUAGGAUGCUUCGGCGUCCGAACACCUCUUCAUUUACAAACACAAAGUCUAUGAAUGUUUAAAUUUUAUAACAAAAUAAAACUUUCAACAACGGAUCUCUUGGCUCUCGCAUCGAUGAAGAACGCAGCGAAAUGUGAUAAGUAAUGUGAAUUGCAGAAUUCAGUGAAUCAUCGAAUCUUUGAACGCAUCUUGCACUCUUUGGUAUUCCGAAGAGUAUGUCUGUUUGAGUGUCAUGAAUUCUUCAACCCUCCCUUUUCUUAGUGAAUCGAGAGGUGUUUGGAUUCUGAGUGUUGCUCCUAACCCGAGCUCAUUCGUAAUGUAUUAGCAUCCAUAUUCGAAUUUCGGAUUGACUUGGCGUAAUAGACUAUUCGCUGAGGAAUCUAGCUCCGGCUAGAGCCGUGUUUGAACUAGGAAGCUACUAAUCUAGCUUAGUCUACCUUUAGAUUAGAUCUCAAAUCAGGCAGGAUUACCCGCUGAACUUAAGCAUAUCAAUAAGCGGAGGAAAAG